GACAGAGGAUGCAAGCGUUAUCCGGAAUGAUUGGGCGUAAAGCGUCUGUAGGUGGCUUUUUAAGUCCGCCGUCAAAUCCCAGGGCUCAACCCUGGACAGGCGGUGGAAACUACCAAGCUGGAGUACGGUAGGGGCAGAGGGAAUUUCCGGUGGAGCGGUGAAAUUCGUAGAUAUUCGGAAGAACACCAGUGGCGAAGGCGGCUCACUGAGCUGGUAUUGACGCUGAGGUGCGAAAGCGUGGGGAGCAAACAGG
rnacentral:rRNA from 1 species